AGGAUAAUAGUUAAUUAUAACAUUUAAUUUGCAGUUAAAAAGUAUUGGUUUAAAAUCAUUUUAUCUUA
rnacentral:tRNA from 1 species